GUCGGGACAGGGCGCCUGGCUCCGCGCGGGGCUCGCGGGCGGCGGCGCUUCCGGGCCCCAGGGGGCCGCCGUGGCCUCUGGAAUUCCGCCGGCCGCGCUCAGGGGUCUGCAGAUACUGAAACCCCCACCGGUAUGCUGCAGACCCCAGACACGCUGGAACCAGAAGGUUGAUGAUGUUGACUCCCACUCACCUCACCACCAACCGAUCAGAAGAAUUUCCAUGAGCUGACCACACCCUCUUGAACCAUUACUAUCAAACUUCUCACUACCCUCUCCAAGUUGGGACACACAGUUUUGAGGGCAUUAGCCUGCUGUGGCCCCCUUUGCCUGGCAAAACAAUAAAGCUAUUCCUUUCUACUUCA